rnacentral:tRNA from 1 species
GGAGAGAUGGCAGAGUGGUUGAAUGCGGCGCUCUCGAAAAGCGUUGUCUGCUUCCGCGGACCGGAGGUUCGAAUCCUCCUCUCUCCGCCA